UGGCUCAGUGGUAGAGCACUUGCCUUGCAUGCAUGAGGUCCUGGGUUCAAUUCCUCAG
rfam:Dipodomys ordii contig_4928, whole genome shotgun sequence.